GCCUUUAUAGCUCAAUAGGUAGAGCAUAUUACUGUUAAUAAUACUAUAGAUGUUCAAGUCAUCUUAAAGGCG
rnacentral:tRNA from 1 species